AUUGAACGCUGGCGGCAGGCUUAACACAUGCAAGUCGAGCGAGCGGCGGACGGGUGAGUAAUGUCUGGGAAACUGCCUGAUGGAGGGGGAUACCUACUGGAAACGGUAGCUAAUACCGCAUACCAUCAGAUGUGCCCAGAUGGUAAUCGCUAGUAGGUGGGGUAAUGGCUCACCUAGGCGACGAUCCCUAGCUGGUCUGAGAGGAUGACCAGCAAUGAUGGAAUAGAGACACGGGCCAGAUUCCUACGGGAGGCAGCAGGGGGGAAGAUUGCACAAUGGGAGCAAGCCUGAUGCAGCCAUGCCGCGUGUGUGAAGAAGGCCUUCGGGUUGUAAAGCACUUUCAGCGAGGAGGCGUUACUCGCAGAAGAAGCACCGGCUAACUCCGUGCCAGCAGCCGCGGUAAUAC
rnacentral:rRNA from 1 species